UACGUAGGGGGCAAGCGUUGUCCGGAUUUAUUGGGCGUAAAGAGCGUGUAGGCGGCUUGGUAGGUCCGCUGUGAAAACUCGAGGCUCAACCUCGAGAUGUCGGCGGAAACCACUUGGCUAGAGUCCGGAAGAGGAGAGUGGAAUUCCCGGUGUAGCGGUGAAAUGCGCAGAUAUCGGGAAGAACACCUAUGGCGAAGGCAGCUCGCUGGGACGUGACUGACGCUGAGACGCGAAAGCGUGGGGAGCAAACAGG
rnacentral:rRNA from 1 species